AGUUUCGAGUCCUGGCUACAGGACGACGCUGGCGGCGUGCCUAAUACAUGCAAGUCGAGCGAGCGGGACCAACAGAUUUACUUCGGUAAUGACGUUGGGAAAGCGAGCGGCGGAUGGGUGAGUAACACGUGGGGAACCUGCCCCUAAGUCUGGGAUACCAUUUGGAAACAGGUGCUAAUACCGGAUGAUAAAGCAGAUCGCAUGAUCAGCUUUUGAAAGGCGGCGUAAGCUGUCGCUAAGGGAUGGCCCCGCGGUGCAUUAGCUAGUUGGUAAGGUAACGGCUUACCAAGGCGACGAUGCAUAGCCGAGUUGAGAGACUGAUCGGCCACAUUGGGACUGAAACACGGCCCAAACUCCUACGGGAGGCAGCAGUGGGGAAUUUUCCGCAAUGGGCGAAAGCCUGACGGAGCAAUGCCGCGUGAAGGUAGAAGGCCUACGGGUCAUGAACUUCUUUUCCCGGAGAAGAAGCAAUGACGGUAUCCGGGGAAUAAGCAUCGGCUAACUCUGUG
rnacentral:rRNA from 1 species